rnacentral:rRNA from 1 species
CCGGAGCUUGCUCCACCGGAAAAAGAGGAGUGGCGAACGGGUGAGUAACACGUGGGUAACCUGCCCAUCAGAAGGGGAUAACACUUGGAAACAGGUGCUAAUACCGUAUAACAAUCGAAACCGCAUGGUUUUGAUUUGAAAGGCGCUUUCGGGUGUCGCUGAUGGAUGGACCCGCGGUGCAUUAGCUAGUUGGUGAGGUAACGGCUCACCAAGGCGACGAUGCAUAGCCGACCUGAGAGGGUGAUCGGCCACAUUGGGACUGAGACACGGCCCAAACUCCUACGGGAGGCAGCAGUAGGGAAUCUUCGGCAAUGGACGAAAGUCUGACCGAGCAACGCCGCGUGAGUGAAGAAGGUUUUCGGAUCGUAAAACUCUGUUGUUAGAGAAGAACAAGGAUGAGAGUAACUGUUCAUCCCUUGACGGUAUCUAACCAGAAAGCCACGGCUAACUACGUGCCAGCAGCCGCGGUAAUACGUAGGUGGCAAGCGUUGUCCGGAUUUAUUGGGCGUAAAGCGAGCGCAGGCGGUUUCUUAAGUCUGAUGUGAAAGCCCCCGGCUCAA